GAUGAACGCUGACAGAAUGCUUAACACAUGCAAGUCUACUUGAAUUUGGGUUUUUAACUUAGAUUUGGGUGGCGGACGGGUGAGUAACGCGUAAAGAACUUGCCUUACAGCUAGGGACAACAUUUAGAAAUGAAUGCUAAUACCUAAUAUUAUGAUAAUAGGGCAUCCUAUAAUUAUGAAAGCUAUAAGCGCUGUGAGAGAGCUUUGCGUCCCAUUAGCUAGUUGGAGAGGUAACGGCUCACCAAGGCGAUGAUGGGUAGCCGGCCUGAGAGGGUGAUCGGCCACAAGGGGACUGAGACACGGCCCUUACUCCUACGGGAGGCAGCAGUGGGGAAUAUUGGACAAUGGACCGAGAGUCUGAUCCAGCAAUUCUGUGUGCACGAUGAAGUUUUUCGGAAUGUAAAGUGCUUUCAGUUGGGAAGAAAAAAAUGACGGUACCAACAGAAGAAGUGACGGCUAAAUACGUGCCAGCAGCCGCGGUAAUACGUAUGUCACGAGCGUUAUCCGGAUUUAUUGGGCGUAAAGCGCGUCUAGGUGGUUAUAUAAGUCUGAUGUGAAAAUGCAGGGCUCAACUCUGUAUUGCGUUGGAAACUGUAUAACUAGAGUACUGGAGAGGUAAGCGGAACUACAAGUGUAGAGGUGAAAUUCGUAGAUAUUUGUAGGAAUGCCGAUGGGGAAGCCAGCUUACUGGACAGAUACUGACGCUGAAGCGCGAAAGCGUGGGUAGCAAACAGG
rnacentral:rRNA from 1 species